UACGGAGGGUGCAAGCGUUAUCCGGAUUCACUGGGUUUAAAGGGUGCGUAGGCGGGCAGGUAAGUCCGUGGUGAAAUCUCUGAGCUUAACUCAGAAACUGCCAUAGAUACUAUUUGUCUUGAAUAUUGUGGAGGUAAGCGGAAUAUGUCAUGUAGCGGUGAAAUGCUUAGAUAUGACAUAGAACACCAAUUGCGAAGGCAGCUUACUACACAGUUAUUGACGCUGAGGCACGAAAGCGUGGGGAUCAAACAGG
rnacentral:rRNA from 1 species